rnacentral:rRNA from 1 species
UACGGGGGGGGUAAGGCGUUGUUCGGAAUUACUGGGCGUAAAGGGCUCGUAGGCGGCCAACUAAGUCGGACGUGAAAUCCCUCAGCUUAACUGGGGAACUGCGUCUGAUACUGGAUGGCUUGGAUUUGGGAGAGGGAUGCGGAAUUCCAGGUGUAGCGGUGAAAUGACGUAGAUAUCUGGAGGAACACCGGUGGCGAAGGCGGCAUCCUGGACCAACAUUGACGCUGAGGAGCGAAAGCCAGGGAGCAAACGGG